AGAAAAUGAAAAAAAGUCGUUUUCUAAAUUCUGAAAACACGGGACUCGUUCUGUCUUCAUCUCCGAGUUUCGAUUUCCUCUGUCUCGAUGGAUUCGAUCUUUGAAGGCCACGACUACAACAAGUGAAAGAAUGUGGAGACCCUUUCACUCAUCUCCCCCGAGUCUUCUAAGCCCUCUUCACAACCCCCUUUGCUUGUUCUUCAGUUUUGUUUGCCUCUCCGGGCAGUUGCUGCCUUAUUUUGCUUUUCUGGCCCUCCUAAGGUCAAUUUACACUUGGACAGUAGUGCGUCCAAAUUUAGGAAGAAAAUGCGCAAAGUUGAAGUUGACGGAACACAAAAUGGGUUUAGUGAUAGCAAUCCUUAUGGGAGGCAGGGAGGCGAAGACUUUAAAAGACAAUUUGUAAGGUAUUAGCAGAAUCAUUGCUUGGAGUUCACACAUGAAUCUACACUAAUUUUGUCCCAGUAAUUUUAGUUUCAAGUUCAGCAACUUGCUGAGCAACUCGACUCUCAAAAUUUGUUUUCUUACCAUUUUUGUUUGUUCUCUCAGUGGUGGUAGCAAUGAAAAAAUGUAUAAAAGGGGUUCUGAUAAUGGUUGUUUGA